rnacentral:rRNA from 1 species
AUUGAACGCUGGCGGCAGGCCUAACACAUGCAAGUCGAACGGUAACAGGAAGAAGCUUGCUUCUUUGCUGACGAGUGGCGGACGGGUGAGUCAUGUCUGGGAAACUGCCUGAUGGAGGGGGAUAACUACUGGAAACGGUAGCUAAUACCGCAUAACGUCGCAAGACCAAAGAGCGGGACCUUCGGGCCUCUUGCCAUCGGAUGUGCCCAGAUGGGAUUAGCUAGUAGGUGGGGUAACGGCUCACCUAGGCGACGAUCCCUAGCUGGUCUGAGAGGAUGACCAGCCACACUGGAACUGAGACACGGUCCAGACUCCUACGGGAGGCAGCAGUGGGGAAUAUUGCACAAUGGGCGCAAGCCUGAUGCAGCCAUGCCGCGUGUAUGAAGAAGGCCUUCGGGUUGUAAAGUACUUUCAGCGGGGAGGAAGGGAGUAAAGUUAAUACCUUUACUCAUUGACGUUACCCGCAGAAGAAGCACCGGCUAACUCCGUG